rnacentral:rRNA from 1 species
GAUGAACGCUGGCGGCGUGCCUAAUACAUGCAAGUCGAGCGAACAGACGAGGAGCUUGCUCCUCUUACGUUAGCGGCGGGCGGGUGAGUAACACGUGGAUAACCUCCCUAUAAGACUGGGAUAACUUCGGGAAACCGGAGCUAAUACCGGAUAAUAUAUUUAACCGCAUUGUUCAAUAGUGAAAGACGGGUUUGCUGUCACUUAUAGAUGGAUCCGCGCCGCAUUAGCUAGUUGGUAAGGUAACGGCUUACCAAGGCAACGAUCCGUAGCCGACCUGAGAGGGGGAUCGGCCACACAGGAAGUGAGACACGGUCCAGACACCUACGGGAGGCAGCAGUAGGGAAUCUACCGCAGUGGGCGAAAGACUGACGGAGCAACGCAGCGUGAGUGAUGAAGGUCGUCGGAUCGUAAAACUCUGUUAUUAGGGAAGAACAAAUGUGUAAGUAACUAUGCACGUCUUGACGGUACCUAAGCAGAAAGCCACGGCUAACUACGU